rnacentral:lncRNA from 1 species
AGGGGGACCCGCGGGUGCUCAGCACCUCUGGAGUAAUCGGGCCCUCGGGUGAAACCCUGGCAGUCCAUGGAAAUUUUGCCCUUGACAUCAGCCGGGCCAGGAUGUCACCCACGGGUCCCGCCUCUGCCCUGGGUUGAUCUGCCCCCUUCGGCUGGUCCAUCUCAUUGUCCCCACAGUGAUGGUGCUUCCUCCCUCUGCACAGAGCUUCUCCCAAGGGCCCCCCGCGAGGUGCAAGCUGCACAUCGACUCUCCGGCUAGGCAGUGCUGCUGGAAAGAAGCGGGAGGAGGUUCUCCUGGCACACAGAACAGAGAAGCCACCAGGAACAGCCUGUGCAAGGAGACUUGCUCGCCCCGUUGCCUGCGCCACGGCUCCCAGAUGCACGCGGGGGUGAAGGCCGCCUGCCUGCUGAUGGGGGGAGCAGCAGCCGGCCCCACCAUGGGCUACAUGGUGACCUCGGCCACGGCCAGCCGGCCUGGGGAGAUGCACCCCCCUGACUUCAAAGAACUGGGCUAUCACCCGUCCGCCUGCGAUGCUGAGGCCUCCCAGUAUGAGACGCUGGAUUACGAAGGGCUGGACCAGGACUUCGACGCGCUGGAUUUCGGGGGGUUUGCCUUCUAGACACACACAAUCGUCCCCCCACCCAGAUUUAAAGGGCUAAACAGAGACUGGGUGGGGGUCUUGCCGCUGGCUUCAUUUCCUCAGAAACUAGUCACCUCCCAGCUCAGAGGGGCAGCGCAUUACGCAGCCUUACCCUGGUGUCACGGGGAGGGCAGGUGUGGGUGUGGGUGUGGGGGGUUUAACAGGGGUAUUUUCUCUUCUCCCAAGAUGGGGAUUUGUUUGUUUGUUUGUUGUUUUUUUAAUCUCUCCCUCCACUGUGUCCGACUGUCCUCAACACUCAGGUUUCCCGUGUGCCCCUGCUGCCGCGGUGACUCGGGCUUGACUCCUGCCCUUGGUUAUGUCCCCUCCCCCCACUAAUGUUACCGUGGGGUAACUCAUGGCAGGAUCGGGCCCCCCCGGAGUGUUCAUUCUGCCAUUUUUUUGCAUUAAACUGUAGAAAUCUCCUCCA